rnacentral:sRNA from 1 species
UUCCUAACCCCUAUAGAUUUUCUGUAGGAUAUGGAAGCAAGACCAGUAACGAGUAAAAAACCCAUCAUGGGGUUGUCGUUACUGGCCGUGCAGGGAAACUUGCAUGAGUGCUUCGGCACU